UUUUAUUUUACUUUAGACUUACAUAGGCUGGAAGUAAAAGGAUGGAAAAAAGAGUCUCCACACAAAGGUAUUUUGUGGUGAAGAUGAACUCUAGAAUCAGGUACUGCAAUUUGAAUGCUGGCUCCACAACUGAUAAGGUACAUGCCCUGGGACAAACCACACCACCUCUCAGAGCCUGUCACAAGGCAGUCAGGACAUUUUAGGAGCAAACGCCUAUGAAGCUCGUAAAAAGGGCUUGGCUUAUGUGGGGAGAACAGGAACUAUUCAGAAGACCACAGGAAGCAUAUAGGAUUCCGAAGUUCAGCGAUUAUUAGCUGUGGGGAGCUGGAGAAGGUAGGUCUCAUUGGAAUGGCGAGAGUUGAGCAACAUAUUAAAGGAAAUAAUGAAUUUAGCCAUGCAGAUGUUUGGAAGAAGAGUGCUCAAGGUAGAGUGAAUAGACAGUACAAGUAUCCUAAGGCC
rnacentral:lncRNA from 10 species